rnacentral:rRNA from 1 species
GGGAAGAGCUCAAAUUUAAAAUCUGGCAGGCUACGCUUGUCCGAAUUGUAAUCUCGAGAAGUGUUUUCCGCGUUGGCCUGUGUACAAGUCCCUUGGAACAGGGCGUCAUAGAGGGUGAGAAUCCCGUCCUUGACACAGACACCCAAUGCUUUGUGAUACACUCUCAAUGAGUCGAGUUGUUUGGGAAUGCAGCUCAAAAUGGGUGGUAAAUUCCAUCUAAAGCUAAAUACUGGCGAGAGACCGAUAGCGAACAAGUACCGUGAGGGAAAGAUGAAAAGCACUUUGGAAAGAGAGUCAAACAGUACGUGAAAUUGUUGAAAGGGAAACGAUUGAAGUCAGUCGUGCCUGCCUAGAUUCAGCCUUCUGGUGUAUUUCUAGGUCGGCAGGUCAGCAUCAGUUUGGGGGGGUUAACAAGGGAGCUGGGAAUGUGGCAACCUCGGUUGUGUUAUAGCCCAGUUUCGCAUUGAUCUCGCUGGACUGAGGAACGCAGUGCGCCCGCAAGGGUUGGUCUUCGGACACAUUCGCACUUAGGAUGCUGGCAUAAUGGCUUUAAACGACCCGUCUUGAAA